GACGAACGCUGGCGGCGUGCUUAACACAUGCAAGUCGAGCGGUAAGGCCCUUUCGGGGGUACACGAGCGGCGAACGGGUGAGUAACACGUGGGUGACCUGCCCUUAGCUCUGGGAUAAGCCUGGGAAACUGGGUCUAAUACCGGAUAUGACUCCAUAACGCAUGUUGUGGGGUGGAAAGCCUUGUGCGGCUAGGGAUGGGCCCGCGGCCUAUCAGCUCGUUGGUGGGGUGAUGGCCACCAAGGCGACGACGGGUAGCCGGCCUGAGAGGGCGACCGGCCACACUGGGACUGAGACACGGCCCAGACUCCUACGGGAGGCAGCAGUGGGGAAUCUUGCGCAAUGGGCGAAAGCCUGACGCAGCGACGCCGCGU
rnacentral:rRNA from 1 species